CCAAGAUGAACUGGCGAACAUUAGGGAGACCUCAACACUGGAUUUCAAACAAUAUGGAGCCAUGUGAGCUCACCACCUCUGAGAUGUCCCCCUUCAUGAGACUCCGGCUCUUUCCACUCCAGACUUCAGUGCAGUGUCAAGGUUGAAGAAGGCCAGGUAGAUCUCUCCUGCUCCAUGGAAGACAAAGAAUCAGCGCAAAGAAAAGGGAUGCUUAUUCGCCAUGUGUGCAUUGGCAAAGAAGCAUGCUGCUUAGGUAAAAGUACCUUUGUCUCCAGUUGCUGUCCAUGCUCGUGCUCCAGUAGUUUCACUCUCUGUUGCAUCAAACAAGAGUGCUACUUAGAUAAAAAAUAGCAAUUAAUUUGUGGUGACUCGUUAUGGAGUAACUUAUACCUCCUUCCUUGCUGGACUUCAUUGUAGCACACAAUCCUGAGUAGCUGCUUUUCAGUUGUCCAUUCUCCGUUAGCUCCCAGACCUGCAGUUGUUAUGGGCAAAUUAUGAUCAAUCGCGGCAUAAGUUUACUUCCAAAGUUGAAUGAACAAGUGUCCAGUUUUUGGCUGUCGCAACAGGUACCUGCUUUGAAUGCUGUUCGCAGGUCGAGAACAUGGGACUGACAGAUGCAUCCAAGCAACCAUCAUUGCUGUCAACACCCACCAGAUGAAACUUCGCUUGGUCUUCCUCACUGCUCACGGUAACUCCAUCCCUGAAGCACAUAAUAUGUGUGGAUCAUACAUACAAGUGAAAAAACUAGUACUGCUUCCUUUCACGAAUUGUUUUCUCGCGAGGCACUUACGAUGUUGGAAGAAGUUUUGCUUUGGACAUGCAAAAUGAGGCAUUGUCAUUCUGGAUUCCAUAGCUUCUGCAAAUGUGAUCUUU